GCUGCUUUGGAGCGAACCCUUGG
rnacentral:siRNA from 1 species